UCCUUGGGGACUUCUCUGAUGUCACCAUGACCAGGGGACACCAUGCCCAGGUCACUCUGGUGUCAUCAUCCUUGGGGACCUCUCUGGUGUCACCGUGCCCACCCCAGGGGUCACUCUGGUGUCACCGUGCCCACCCCAGAGGUCUCUCUGGUGUCACCAUGCCCAGGUCACUCUGGUGUCACCGUGCCCACCCCAGGGGUCACUCUGGUGUCACCGUGCCCACCCCAGAGGUCUCUCUGGUGUCACCAUGCCCAGGUCACUCUGGUGUCACCGUGCCCACCCCAGGGGUCACUCUGGUGUCACCGUGCCCACCCCAGGGGUCUCUCUGGUGUCACCAUGCCCAGGUCACUCUGGUGUCACCAUGCCCACCCCAGGGGUCUCUCUGGUGUCACCGUGCCCAGGUCACUCUGGUGUCACCAUGCCCACCCCAGAGGUCUCUCUGGUGUCACCGUGACCGAGUGUCCCCUGUGUG